CAAAAGUAUGAAUCAGGAACCAAAUAUAUAACUAACCAACAAAAAGGACGAGAAACAAUACAUCAAUAUUAACUUAAAUCACAAACUCCAGCAACUCUUUGAAUUCAAAUCAUAAUUAACUAAAAUUAAUUCUCCCUGCUCAACAAUAACAAAUGGCAGACAAGGAAAGGAAUUAUUAGCGUUGUUCUCCUCUAUGAAAUUGAUUGUUGAGUUAAUGACCAGAAGAGUGAUAAUCCCAAUAAAGUCCUCCCAAUCUGGUGGUUUUCCCCGUAAAGAUUAAAAAUGUAGGUAGACUGAUAAUAAGACUGAUAAUAAUGAGAUCGACGUGAGUGAUGCCUCAAGACUAAACAGAUUCCCAUAGUUCUUCAACUUUAGCUUGACUUCUCGAAGUUCUAUUGACCGCGUGAUCCUUAUUAACUAACUCAGGGAAGCCUAAUUAUUUGUUUAUUUGCAAUAUAGUUUUGCUUAAUAAUUUUUUUAUUACUCAUUCACGUAACAAGAAAUAAGCACUUUCGAAAAACCAACAGUAGUAGGUUGACUCUGGCCUCCAAUUGUCUAGGCCUAACUGUAAAGGGGGAGGGCAUAUAUAGAGGGUUAAGUUGCAACUAUAAAGCAAUUCUUUAGCUUUUUGUAUUCAAAUAAUGUCAAAUCAAUGGAAUUACAGAAAGAUUCAUCACGCCCUUUAUUUAACAAGACAAAAUUGAUAAUUGAACUUUCACUUUUCAAACUCAAUUUAUUAUCCUCAACUAAGUGAAGUACUGAGGCAAGAACAGUACUAGUAAGUCAAUUUUUGCAUAUAAUUUCCCUGAUUAAACCAUGCUUUAAGAAGAGAUUUGGUCAUAGUAUCUUUGUAAGUAAAAACUAACAGCGGGAUUCAGGCUGAAUGAGAAUUAAGACAGUUUCUUUAUUGCAGAGUUCUGAUUGAUAAGGCAAUAAAUUAAGACAGUUGAAUAAGCAUUUUAUAGUACGUGCUAUACAAUUAAUGUGGUAGAAUAAGGUUCAAUGGAAACCAGAGCCAAAAGUGGAUACACGGAACAAAGACAAAACAAAGUCAGAACAACGACUCCGUCUCAUAAAUUAGUAGAAGCACAAUAUUAAUCAGAAGUUCAGGACACAAAACAUUAUGAUGAUUUGGAAACCAUAACAUUUUCAAUCGAGUUUGAACCUCCACUUUACUGUGGAUCGCAGAUAUUCCACUUCAACCCAAUAAAUGAAUUGACUCAAAACAUUAUGAUAAUUUGGAACCCAAAACAUUUUCAAUGGAGUUUGAACCUUCAAUUUACUGUAGAUCUCAUAUAUUUCAUUGCAACCAGAUAAAUGAAUCGAUAGAAACCCAAUAAACGAAUUUGUAACCUAAUUUGAAUUUCACAUUAAUUUCCAACAAAAUAGAUAACAACCCAACAAAUAAAAACCAAUAAUGAUACCUCUAAGCUGUCUUUGGCCCUAGCUUAGAUCUUUAGGUUACUGGGCUUGACGGCUGAUGGCUGAUUCAAGGUGGCGGGACGAUAAUCUUGUGGCGGGUCAGAGCAGAGAAAAUUGAAGGGAGAAGAAGAAAAAAAAGGUUGAACCCCAACCUUAAGGGCCUCCACCGACCCUGCCCUGGGCCAUCGUGGAGGAGGUAAAUCGCAGGAUGUGCCUCCCAGGAGCCAGGGUGGAGAGCACAUGGAUAGGUCAAGACUGUUAACCCAUAUGGUAACUCCCGCUUGCAACAAAGCCAAUUCCACCUUGCGGGGAAUCGAACUCUG
rnacentral:lncRNA from 1 species